rnacentral:rRNA from 1 species
CUGCUAUCGGAUUGAUACUAAGCCAUGCGAGUCAUUGUAGCAAUGCAAGGCAUACGGCUCAGUAACGCGUAGUCAACCUAACCUAUGGACGGGAAUAACCUCGGGAAACUGAGAAUAAUGCCCGAUAGAACAUUAUGCCUGGAAUGGUUUAUGUUCCAAAUGAUUUAUCGCCGUAGGAUGGGACUGCGGCCUAUCAGUUUGUUGGUGAGGUAAUGGCCACCAAGACUAUUACAGGUACGGGCUCUGAGAGGAGUAGCCCGGAGAUGGGUACUGAGACACGGACCCAGGCCCUAUGGGGCGCAGCAGGCGAGAAAACUUUGCAAUGUGCGAAAGCACGACAAGGUUAAUCCGAGUGGUUUCUGCUAAAGGAACCUUUUGUCAGUCCUAGAAACACUGAUGAAUAAGGGGUGGGCAAGUUCUGGUGUCAGCCGCCGCGGUAAAACCAGCACCUCAAGUGGUCAGGAUGAUUAUUGGGCCUAAAGCAUCCGUAGCCGGCUCUGUAAGUUUUCGGUUAAAUCUGUACGCUCAACGUACAGGCUGCCGGGAAUACUGCAAAGCUAGGGAGUGGGAGAGGUAGACGGUACUCGGUAGGAAGGGGUAAAAUCCUUUGAUCUAUUGAUGACCACCUGUGGCGAAGGCGGUCUACCAGAACACGUCCGACGGUGAGGGAUGAAAGCUGGGGGAGCAAACCGGAUUAGAUACCCGGGUAGUCCCAGCUGUAAACCAUGCAAACUCAGUGAUGCAUUGGCUUGUGGCCAAUGCAGUGCUGCAGGGAAGCCGUUAAGUUUGCCGCCUGGGAAGUACGUACGCAAGUAUGAAACUUAAAGGAAUUGGCGGGGGAGCACCACAAGGGGUGAAGCCUGCGG